rnacentral:pre_miRNA from 1 species
GAGGAGCGGCACAAAUGGACUCUGUGAUUAUGUAAAAGCACGCCAUUUGGAGCUGUUCUUUU